GUAGUCAUACGCUUGUCUCAAAGAUUAAGCCAUGCAUGUCUAAGUAUAAACAAUUUUGUACUGUGAAACUGCGAAUGGCUCAUUAUAUCAGCUAUAGUCUACUCGAUAGUACCUUACUACUUGGAUAACCGUAGUAAUUCUAGAGCUAAUACAUGCACAAAUACCCAACUGCUUGUCGGACGGGUAGCAUUUAUUAGAUUGAAACCAAUGCAGUCUUCGGGCUGGUAUUGUGUUGAGUCAUAAUAACUGUGCGGAUCGCACUCAGUGCGAUAAAUCGAUUGAGUUUCUGCCCUAUCAGCUUUGGAUGGUAGGAUAUGGGCCUACCAUGGCAUUAACGGGUAACGGGGAAUUAGGGUUU
rnacentral:rRNA from 1 species